AUUGAACGCUGGCGGCAGGCUUAACACAUGCAAGUCGAGCGGUAGCACAAGGGAGCUUGCUCCCUGGGUGACGAGCGGCGGACGGGUGAGUAAUGUCUGGGAAACUGCCUGAUGGAGGGGGAUAACUACUGGAAACGGUAGCUAAUACCGCAUAACGUCGCAAGACCAAAGAGGGGGACCUUCGGGCCUCUUGCCAUCAGAUGUGCCCAGAUGGGAUUAGCUAGUAGGUGGGGUAAUGGCUCACCUAGGCGACGAUCCCUAGCUGGUCUGAGAGGAUGACCAGCCACACUGGAACUGAGACACGGUCCAGACUCCUACGGGAGGCAGCAGUGGGGAAUAUUGCACAAUGGGCGCAAGCCUGAUGCAGCCAUGCCGCGUGUGUGAAGAAGGCCUUCGGGUUGUAAAGCACUUUCAGCGAGGAGGAAGGUGGUGAGCUUAAUACGCUCAUCAAUUGACGUUACUCGCAGAAGAAGCACCGGCUAACUCCGUGCCAGCAGCCGCGGUAAUACGGAGGGUGCAAGCGUUAAUCGGAAUUACUGGGCGUAAAGCGCACGCAGGCGGUUGGAUAAGUUAGAUGUGAAAGCCCCGGGCUCAACCUGGGAAUUGCAUUUAAAACUGUCCAGCUAGAGUCUUGUAGAGGGGGGUAGAAUUCCAGGUGUAGCGGUGAAAUGCGUAGAGAUCUGGAGGAAUACCGGUGGCG
rnacentral:rRNA from 1 species